UACGUAGGGUGCGAGCGUUGUCCGGAAUUACUGGGCGUAAAGAGCUCGUAGGCGGUCUGUUGCGUCGGCUGUGAAAACCCGGGGCUCAACUCCGGGCCUGCAGCCGAUACGGGCAGACUAGAGUUCGGCAGGGAGACUGGAAUUCCUGGUGUAGCGGUGAAAUGCGCAGAUAUCAGGAGGAACACCGGUGGCGAAGGCGGGUCUCUGGGCCGAUAUUGACGCUGAGGAGCGAAAGCGUGGGGAGCGAACAGG
rnacentral:rRNA from 1 species